rnacentral:rRNA from 1 species
AAUCAACGCUGGCGGCGUGCCUAACACAUGCAAGUCGAACGCGAAAGCCCCGCAAGGGGUAAGUAGAGUGGCAAACGGGUGAGUAACACGUGGGUGACCUGCCUUCGAGUGGGGGAUAACGUCCCGAAAGGGACGCUAAUACCGCAUGACAUCCUGCUUUUGAAAAAGCGGAGAUCAAAGCUGGGGAUCGCAAGACCUAGCGCUUGAAGAGGGGCCCGCGCCUGAUUAGCUAGUUGGUGAGGUAACGGCUCACCAAGGCGACGAUCAGUAUCCGGCCUGAGAGGGCGGACGGACACACUGGGACUGAGACACGGCCCAGACUCCUACGGGGGGCAGCAGUGGGGAAUUGUUCGCAAUAGGCGCAAGCCUGACGACGCAACGCCGCGUGGAGGACGAAGAUCUUCGGGUCGUAAACUCCUGUCGAGCGGGACGAACGCUUCGCGGAUGAAUAAUCCGCGGAAUUGACGGUACCGCUAAAGGAAGCCCCGGCUAACUCCGUG